rnacentral:lncRNA from 1 species
GGAGGAAAAAAGGACUUUUUGGUAAAAUGGCGGCAGUUGAGCAAGGGAGGAGCAGAAAGAAGAGAGGAAAACAAGGCAGAAAGAAAAUAGAACAAAAAAGUGAGAGAAAAUAGAAGAAAAUCAGAAAAAAAAAAUAGAAAAACUUAGAAAAAAGAAAACAGGAACAAAAUUGAAAAAAAUAGAAAUUGGAAAAAAGAAAAUUGAAAAAGCAUAGAAAAAAUGAAAAAAAAAGAAAAUAGAAAAUAGAAAAAUAAAGAGAAGAAAUUGGAGAAUAGAAGAAACUAGAAAAAAUUAGAAAAUUUAAGAAAAUAGAAGACAUUAGAACAAUGAAAAUCGAACAAAUAGAAAAUAGAAGAAUAUAGAAAAUAACAUAGAAAAAAUGAAAAUAGACUGUAAAAUAAAUAGAAGACAUUAGAACAAUGAAAAUCGAACAAAUAGAAAAUAGAAGAAUAUAGAAAAUAACAUAGAAAAAAUGAAAAUAGACUGUAAAAUAAAUAGAAAAAAAAUGCAGUUGGAAAAAAUACAAUUGGGAAAAAUGAAACUAGAAAAAAGAAAAUAGAAAAUUAUAGAAAAAAAGAAAAACCCAAGUGCUGAAAAAUUUAAGAAGAUGGAAGUGAAAGAAAACAGGGAAAAAAUCAGAAGAGAGAAAAUAGAAGAGAGGAAAAUCAAAGAGGAUUUAGAGGAGAAAAUAGAAGCGAAAAAUAAUGAAAAAAAGAAGGAUAAAGGGAGAAAAAGGAAGAAAAAUCCCGAUUUGGGUCCCGGAGCCAGGAAAAUUGAGGAAUUUGAGGAAAAUGCUCCGCCGCUCCCGCCGGCGCCGCUCAGAAGCAGCAAAACGCAGGGAAAAAAAGGCAAAAAAAAAACGGUGAGAAAAAGCCGAGGAAAGGGAAAAAAAAAAAAAAGAAAGAGGAUUUAACCAGAAAAGGCCAGUCUGCACUCAAAACGCGCUCAGGAGAUUCCGGCAGGGAUUUGAGGAGAAAACCCCCAGAUCUGGGGUAUGCAGAGAAGUAAGAGUCGAUUUAAUUUCAUUUUUUUGGGGAGGUCGGUUUGUUUUUGGUGGGUAGGGGGCGGUUUUGGGGUGUUUUCCGCCCUUUCCGCAGCCGCAAGUGAGAGGAGUCAGCAGCACCAAAAAGAAGCUUUUUUGCCCCAAAGUGAAGCUGGAAGAGCAGGAAUGAGGCUCCGAGAGAUUUCCUUAGGAAAACAAAAAGUAAAACCCCCCCAAAAACCCCUUGGAGGGAGGGGCUGGAGCAGGCGUGGGGGGAGGGGACAAUAAUCAUGUUUUCAGGUUUUUUUCUCCAAAACCAGCAGCAGGAAUGCUUAAAUUUUAGACUUUUGUCCCCAAAACGAGUAAGUGUAGGAGCGAGCGAGGGGCGGGGAAGCCUCAAAUUUGAGGC